UGCCGCCCUGAAGGGCGUAUGGUGGAUGCCUUGGCAGACAGUACCGAUGAAGGACGUUUGAGGAUGCGAUAAGCCUCGGGGAGCCUCCAACAUGGCUUCGAUCCGAGGAUUUCCGAAUGGGGCAACCCGCCGGCCGUCAUGGGCCGGCACGGAACCUUGUUGUUCCGGGGGUACGCAGGGAAGUGAAACAUCUCAGUACCUGCAGGAAGGGAUACUCCGUGAGUAGUGGCGAGCGAAAGCGGAUCAGACCAAACCAUGGGCGCGUGAUACCCGUCGGGGGUUGCGUUCGUGGUGUUGAGGGAGCGUGUGUCCCGGUUCCGACGGACCGGGCGGGAGUCAUAAAACGGCUUGCCAGGGGAACAGGCUUGAAGGCCUGGCCGCAGAGGGUGCCAGCCCCGUACCUGGAAGCUUGCCGUCUUCCGAUCAUGUGUCCCAAGUAGCGCGGGCCUCGUGGAAUCCCGUGUGAAUCGGCCCCGACCGUGGGGUAAGUCUAAGCAUACCUGUCUGACCGAUAGCGUACCAGUACCGUGAGGGAAAGGUGAAAAGCACCCCGGGAGGGGAGUGAAAGAGUUCCUGAAACCGUGCGCCUACAAUCCGUCGGAGCCUCCUUGUGGGGUGACGGCGUGCCUAUCGAAAAAUGAGUCUGCGAGUCAGUGGUGCGUGGCGAGGCUAACCCGUGGUGGGGGAGCCGUAGCGAAGGCGAGUCUCAAAAGGCGUUUUGAGUCGCGCGCCCUGGACCCGAAGCGGGAUGAUCUAGCCCUGGGCAGGUUGAAGCGCGGGUAAGACCGCGUGGAGGACCGAACCCACCUGGGUUGAAAACCGGGGGGAUGACCUGGGGCUAGGGGUGAAAGGCCAAUCAAAUUCCGUGAUAGCUGGUUCUCUCCGAAAUGCAUUUAGGUGCAGCGUCGGUUGAUUGCAUCGCGGGGGUAGAGCUACUGGAUGCUUGCGGGCCCGUGUCGGGUACCAAUAGCAGCCAAACUCCGAAUACCGUGGAUGUGUAUUCCGGCAGUGAGUCGGCGGGGGAUAAGCUCCGUCGUCGAGAGGGAGACAGCCCAGAUCGUCGUCUAAGGUCCCGAAGCGUGUGCUAAGUGGGAAAGGAUGUGGAGUCGCAUAGACAGCCAGGAGGUUGGCUCAGAAGCAGCCAUCCUUGAAAGAGUGCGUAACAGCUCACUGGUCUAGUGGUUCCGCGCCGACAAUGUAGCGGGGCUCAAGCACACCACCGAAGACGCGGCAACGGUCGUAUGGCCGUUGGGUAGGAGAGCGUCCCGCGUGGGGCGAAGCGGCCGGGGAACCGUGCCGUGGACCGCGCGGGAGUGAGAAUGCAGACAUGAGUAGCGAGAGACGGGUGAGGAUCCCGUCCGCUGGAUGACCAAGGGUUCCGGGGCCACGUUCGUCGUCCCCGGGUGAGUCGGGUCCUAAGGCGAGGCCGACAGGCGUAGUCGAAUGGAUGAACGGGUGGAUAUUCCCGUACCGGCGGCGUACCGUAAGAGCCGAACGGAUGAGUACUAACCUCCGGUCGCGUGGCGUCGUUCCCUUCGGGGUUCGGGGUCCGCGGUCGUUGGGAGCGUAGUCCUGGUAGGCUAGCGCACAGGGGUGACACGGAAUGGGAGCCGGCCGCGGAGGUGGUUUUCCGUGGUCAAGCACGCAGCCCGUCCCAUAGGCAAAUCCGUGGGACGCAUAGGGUGAGGUGUGAUGAUGGGCGUCCUUUGGACGCGAUAUCCGGUGGUCCAGGCCGUCGAGAAAAGCCUCGGCGCGAGGGGCGUCGCCGCCCGUACCCCAAACCGACACUGGUGGUCAGGUAGAGAAUACCAAGGCGAUCGAGCGAAUCCUGGUCAAGGAACUCGGCAAAUCACUCCCGUGCCUUCGGUAUAAGGGAGACCCCCGGGCGUGAAGAGGCUUGCCCUCGGAGCGUUGGGGGGUGGCACAGACCAGGGGGUAGCGACUGUUUACCAAAAACACAGGUGCAUGCGAAGGCGCAAGCCGCUGUAUAUGCACUGACGCCUGCCCGGUGCCGGAAGGUUAAGAGGAUCCGUCAGCCCCUUUUGGGGUGAAGCGGUGAAUUCAAGCCCCGGUAAACGGCGGUGGUAACUAUAACCAUCCUAAGGUAGCGAAAUUCCUUGUCGGGUAAGUUCCGACCUGCACGAAUGGCGUAACGACUUCCCCACUGUCUCGACCAGGAGCUCGGCGAAAUUGCAGUACGAGUAAAGAUGCUCGUUAAGCGCAGAAGGACGAAAAGACCCCGGGACCUUUACUAUACCUUGGUAUUGGCGUUAGGCGCGGAUUGUGUAGCAUAGGCGGGAGGCUUCGAAGC
rnacentral:rRNA from 1 species